AAAAGAAGUUUUGACCACUUUCAAUGUUGUAGCAAUCCUUUAGCCGAUUGGACAAUGACGUUCUUUUUCUUUACCCCUCUUUUAUGCACGCAUUAAUAGUGUAUAUAUGUAUUUUUAGGAGGUAUUAUCGAUGGAAUUCGGUAAAGUUAAAUGGUUUAACAGCGAAAAAGGAUUUGGAUUCAUCCAAACUGAAAGUGGAAACGACGUAUUCGUACACUUCUCUGCAAUUCAAGGCGAAGGUUUCAAAACUUUAGAAGAAGGUCAAGAAGUUCAAUUCGAAAUCAUCGAAGGAAACCGUGGACCACAAGCAGCUAACGUAAACAAAAAAUAAUUUUUGUUAUGUUCAAGGCAUCCUUUUUUAGGAUGCCUUUUUAU
rnacentral:sRNA from 1 species